rnacentral:rRNA from 1 species
GGGGUAAACCUGCGAAACUCGAAUGAACGAACGGAGAGAUUCAUCGUCAUUCCGCGGCGUACGGAUGCGCGUUCGAUGUCUUCGACCUCGGUCGGUGGGCACGUCGCGUAUACGUCGACGUCCGUGGACGGCGUGCACUUCUCUCUCAGUAACACAUGCAUCGCGACCCGUUCGAUGUCGGUCUAAGCGCCGUCCGGGAGCCCCGCUGUCCCUUCACGGGGGCGACGGGACCGUGACGGACGCCGACCGGCCGUCGGACGGUAUAAUAUAUGAUUCGCGCACGCGUUUUAACGCGUCCGGCCCGACGCAAGUCAACGUCGUAUCCGACGUUCCGCCCGAGUGCGGACGUAGGUGCGGCGCGUCUGUUGUCGCCGCCGUGCAGUCUCGGACUGUGCGCGUCUCCGUCUGCGAUGAUUCAGUUUCGGGCACUCGCAGGACCCGUCUUGAAACACGGACCAAGGAGUCUAGCAUGUAUGCGAGUCAUUGAGAUUAUUUCAAUAAACUGAAAGGCGUAACGAAAGUGAAGGCGUGCGCUUGUCGCGCGCUCAGGGAGGAUGGAGCGUCGAUCUAGGUCGAUCUCUCGCACUCCCGAGGCGUCUCGUUUCCAAUCCGUGAAUGCAGGCGCGCUC